GGCACUAUAGCCAAGUGGUUAAGGCGACAGAUUCGAAUUGUGUUAUCUGUUUCCCUAUGGGAGCGCAGGUUCGAACCCUGCUGGUGUCG
rnacentral:tRNA from 1 species